rnacentral:other from 1 species
GUCCUGAAAUGUUCGUUGUAUAACCUAAAGUUUUGACCAACAUUAUUUAUCCGGGAGUCUGGAGUUUUCUGAUUGCGUAAAUGCCUCGCCCUUAACGGGUAUGGGGACUUACAAUACCGGAAACAGGACACCCACCUGCUAAAGUUGCGGGAUCAAAACUAUGGAUCAAGUCAACGGCACCAUUGGGACU